rnacentral:rRNA from 1 species
AACGAACGCUGGCGGCAUGCCUAACACAUGCAAGUCGAACGAGACCUUCGGGUCUAGUGGCGCACGGGUGCGUAACGCGUGGGAACCUGCCCUUAGGUUCGGAAUAACUCCCCGAAAGGGGUGCUAAUACCGGAUAAUGUCUUCGGACCAAAGAUUUAUCGCCUUUGGAUGGGCCCGCGUUGGAUUAGCUAGUUGGUAGGGUAAAAGCCUACCAAGGCGACGAUCCAUAGCUGGUCUGAGUGGAUGAUCAGCCACACUGGGACUGAGACACGGCCCAGACUCCUACGGGAGGCAGCAGUGGGGAAUAUUGGACAAUGGGCGAAAGCCUGAUCCAGCAAUGCCGCGUGAGUGAUGAAGGCCUUAGGGUUGUAAAGCUCUUUUACCCGGGAUGAUAAUGACAGUACCGGGAGAAUAAGCUCCGGCUAACUCCG